GAUGAAGAACGUAGUGAAAUGCGAUACGUAAUGUGAAUUGCAGAAUCCCGUGAACCAUCGAGUCUUUGAACGCAAGUUGCGCCCGAAGCCAUUAGGCCGAGGGCACGCCUGCCUGGGUGUCACACACCGUUACCCUCGCGCCAACGUCCAUCGUUGGCCGCGGCGCGGGGCGUGCGCUGACCUCCCGCGAGCGGGGUCUCGUGGUUGGUUGAAAAUCGAGUUCGCGGUCGAGGGUGCCGUGAUGAAAUGGUGGAUGGGCGACGCCCGAGGCCAAUCACGCGCGACUCUGUCCGGCUCGGACUCCUGGACCCCUUCGGCGUCUCCGGACGCUCUUUGGCGAGACCUCAGGUCAGGCGGGGCUACCCGCUGAGUUUAAGCAUAUCAAUAAGCGGAGGA
rnacentral:misc_RNA from 1 species